rfam:Oryza glaberrima chromosome 3 Oglab03_0146_11, whole genome shotgun sequence.
AAAAAAAUAAACUCUGAGUUUCCGUGUCUAACGUUUGACUGUCCGUUUUAUAUGAAUUUUUUUAUAAUUAGUAUUUUAAUUAUUGUUAGAUGAUAAAACAUAAUUAAUACUUUAUGCGUAACUGACGGUCAAACGUUGGACACGGAAACCCAUGGUUUGUCUUCUU